UUUGUUAGUGUUGCACAGAGCUAGUGAGCGGAGCGGAGAGAGAGUGAGCGAGGGGCGGAACGGAUGGAAUUUUGUUGGAGCGUGGAACGCUUUUUAAUUUAGAGGCCG